UUAAGCGACUAAGCGUACACGGUGGAUGCCCUGGCAGUCAGAGGCGAUGAAGGACGUGCUAAUCUGCGAUAAGCGUCGGUAAGGUGAUAUGAACCGUUAUAACCGGCGAUUUCCGAAUGGGGAAACCCAGUGUGUUUCGACACACUAUCAUUAACUGAAUCCAUAGGUUAAUGAGGCGAACCGGGGGAACUGAAACAUCUAAGUACCCCGAGGAAAAGAAAUCAACCGAGAUUCCCCCAGUAGCGGCGAGCGAACGGGGAGCAGCCCAGAGCCUGAAUCAGUGUGUGUGUUAGUGGAAGCGUCUGGAAAGGCGCGCGAUACAGGGUGACAGCCCCGUACACAAAAAUGCACAUGCUGUGAGCUCGAUGAGUAGGGCGGGACACGUGGUAUCCUGUCUGAAUAUGGGGGGACCAUCCUCCAAGGCUAAAUACUCCUGACUGACCGAUAGUGAACCAGUACCGUGAGGGAAAGGCGAAAAGAACCCCGGCGAGGGGAGUGAAAAAGAACCUGAAACCGUGUACGUACAAGCAGUGGGAGCACGCUUAGGCGUGUGACUGCGUACCUUUUGUAUAAUGGGUCAGCGACUUAUAUUCUGUAGCAAGGUUAACCGAAUAGGGGAGCCGAAGGGAAACCGAGUCUUAACUGGGCGUUAAGUUGCAGGGUAUAGACCCGAAACCCGGUGAUCUAGCCAUGGGGCAGGUUGAAGGUUGGGUAACACUAACUGGAGGACCGAACCGACUAAUGUUGAAAAAUUAGCGGAUGACUUGUGGCUGGGGGUGAAAGGCCAAUCAAACCGGGAGAUAGCUGGUUCUCCCCGAAAGCUAUUUAGGUAGCGCCUCGUGAAUUCAUCUCCGGGGGUAGAGCACUGUUUCGGCAAGGGGGUCAUCCCGACUUACCAACCCGAUGCAAACUGCGAAUACCGGAGAAUGUUAUCACGGGAGACACACGGCGGGUGCUAACGUCCGUCGUGAAGAGGGAAACAACCCAGACCGCCAGCUAAGGUCCCAAAGUCAUGGUUAAGUGGGAAACGAUGUGGGAAGGCCCAGACAGCCAGGAUGUUGGCUUAGAAGCAGCCAUCAUUUAAAGAAAGCGUAAUAGCUCACUGGUCGAGUCGGCCUGCGCGGAAGAUGUAACGGGGCUAAACCAUGCACCGAAGCUGCGGCAGCGACACUAUGUGUUGUUGGGUAGGGGAGCGUUCUGUAAGCCUGUGAAGGUGUGCUGUGAGGCAUGCUGGAGGUAUCAGAAGUGCGAAUGCUGACAUAAGUAACGAUAAAGCGGGUGAAAAGCCCGCUCGCCGGAAGACCAAGGGUUCCUGUCCAACGUUAAUCGGGGCAGGGUGAGUCGACCCCUAAGGCGAGGCCGAAAGGCGUAGUCGAUGGGAAACAGGUUAAUAUUCCUGUACUUGGUGUUACUGCGAAGGGGGGACGGAGAAGGCUAUGUUGGCCGGGCGACGGUUGUCCCGGUUUAAGCGUGUAGGCUGGUUUUCCAGGCAAAUCCGGAAAAUCAAGGCUGAGGCGUGAUGACGAGGCACUACGGUGCUGAAGCAACAAAUGCCCUGCUUCCAGGAAAAGCCUCUAAGCAUCAGGUAACAUCAAAUCGUACCCCAAACCGACACAGGUGGUCAGGUAGAGAAUACCAAGGCGCUUGAGAGAACUCGGGUGAAGGAACUAGGCAAAAUGGUGCCGUAACUUCGGGAGAAGGCACGCUGAUAUGUAGGUGAGGUCCCUCGCGGAUGGAGCUGAAAUCAGUCGAAGAUACCAGCUGGCUGCAACUGUUUAUUAAAAACACAGCACUGUGCAAACACGAAAGUGGACGUAUACGGUGUGACGCCUGCCCGGUGCCGGAAGGUUAAUUGAUGGGGUCAGCGCAAGCGAAGCUCUUGAUCGAAGCCCCGGUAAACGGCGGCCGUAACUAUAACGGUCCUAAGGUAGCGAAAUUCCUUGUCGGGUAAGUUCCGACCUGCACGAAUGGCGUAAUGAUGGCCAGGCUGUCUCCACCCGAGACUCAGUGAAAUUGAACUCGCUGUGAAGAUGCAGUGUACCCGCGGCAAGACGGAAAGACCCCGUGAACCUUUACUAUAGCUUGACACUGAACAUUGAGCCUUGAUGUGUAGGAUAGGUGGGAGGCUUUGAAGUGUGGACGCCAGUCUGCAUGGAGCCGACCUUGAAAUACCACCCUUUAAUGUUUGAUGUUCUAACGUGGACCCGUGAUCCGGGUUGCGGACAGUGUCUGGUGGGUAGUUUGACUGGGGCGGUCUCCUCCUAAAGAGUAACGGAGGAGCACGAAGGUUGGCUAAUCCUGGUCGGACAUCAGGAGGUUAGUGCAAUGGCAUAAGCCAGCUUGACUGCGAGCGUGACGGCGCGAGCAGGUGCGAAAGCAGGUCAUAGUGAUCCGGUGGUUCUGAAUGGAAGGGCCAUCGCUCAACGGAUAAAAGGUACUCCGGGGAUAACAGGCUGAUACCGCCCAAGAGUUCAUAUCGACGGCGGUGUUUGGCACCUCGAUGUCGGCUCAUCACAUCCUGGGGCUGAAGUAGGUCCCAAGGGUAUGGCUGUUCGCCAUUUAAAGUGGUACGCGAGCUGGGUUUAGAACGUCGUGAGACAGUUCGGUCCCUAUCUGCCGUGGGCGCUGGAGAACUGAGGGGGGCUGCUCCUAGUACGAGAGGACCGGAGUGGACGCAUCACUGGUGUUCGGGUUGUCAUGCCAAUGGCACUGCCCGGUAGCUAAAUGCGGAAGAGAUAAGUGCUGAAAGCAUCUAAGCACGAAACUUGCCCCGAGAUGAGUUCUCCCUGACUCCUUGAGAGUCCUGAAGGAACGUUGAAGACGACGACGUUGAUAGGCCGGGUGUGUAAGCGCAGCGAUGCGUUGAGCUAACCGGUACUAAUGAACCGUGAGGCUUAACCUU
rnacentral:rRNA from 1 species